rnacentral:tRNA from 3 species
UAGAAGGUAGUAUAGUGGGAGUGCAGAGGGUUUUGGAGUCUCAGGUGUGGGUUCGAAUCCCAUUCUUCUAA